GGUAUGUGCUGGUCAUUCUUUUUCAUAUUAAAUUCACAAUGGGCUGCUCAUACAAGACUAUGCUAUAAUAUGGUCAAUAGCACCAAUGUUUUCCCUUCCAAUAAAAGAACCAUAGCAGCAACAUUUUUGCUAGUGUAGAGACAUAAAUAUAUGUUCAUUCUUGUCAACUUAAAUCGUGAAAGUUCACUUCUGAAAGAUGAGGACAGCAGCUAAUUUAUAUAGCUGCAUCGUGAAUUUAAGGAUAUGGGCAGAAACGUACUAGUACAUUCAGUGUUUGGAAGUUUAAGCAACGACGCUAUUCGAUUUUUUACGGGUUUUGCACGUCGCUUCAAUCUCGUUGUUCCGUCUUAUCGUGCUGUUGAAUUCGGGUUUUCUUCGAAGUGAAGUAAGGAGGAAAAAGAUUACUUCUUGGCAUAUAAGAUUGGUGAAGCCCGAGACCUAAGUUAUGGUUAACUUGAGAAGCGACAAUGCCCCAGAUUGUUUGGCAGGUUAAGUGUAUAGCUAGGAUGCUCUGACGUCUGCUGGGAUUGACAAGUUCCACCUCAUUCUGGAGCUGUGUUGAGUCAUGUAUAGAUAUGCAUGAUUAUGGGUAUGUCAGGGCCCUGUCCUGACUCAUAAUGUCCAGUUCACUUCUUAGAGGCUUCUGCAGACAGUGUCCUGUGGUAUGUUUGUCGAGAUGUCGACAAAGUGAUAUCAGUUGAGUCAUUUAUGGAUUUUAAAAGAGUAUGUAUUUUAGAUGAUUUAGAUUGGUCUAAAGUACUUAUUGAUUGAAAGUUUUCAUAAUCGUUAUAGAGAUAAUGAUUUCUA